GAUGAACGCUGACAGAAUGCUUAACACAUGCAAGUCGAUUCGAUUUACCUUCGGGUAUUGAGGAUGGCGGACGGGUGAGUAACGCGUAAGGAACUUGCCUCUUGGUCUGGGACAACUGUUGGAAACGACAGCUAAUACCGGAUAUUAUGAGAUUCUCGCAUGGGAAACUUAUGAAAGCUAUAUGCGCCAAGAGAGAGCCUUGCGUUCCAUUAGCUAGUUGGUGGGGUAACGGCCCACCAAGGCGACGAUGGAUAGCCGGCCUGAGAGGGUGAACGGCCACAAGGGGACUGAGACACGGCCCUUACUCCUACGGGAGGCAGCAGUGGGGAAUAUUGGACAAUGGGCCACAAGCCUGAUCCAGCAAUUCUGUGUGCACGAUGAAGGUCUUCGGAUUGUAAAGUGCUUUCAGUUGGGAAGAAGAAAGUGACGGUACCAACAGAAGAAGCGACGGCUAAAUACGUGCCAGCAGCCGCGGUAAUACGUAUGUCGCAAGCGUUAUCCGGAUUUAUUGGGCGUAAAGCGCGUCUAGGCGGAAAAAUAAGUCUGAUGUUAAAAUGCGGGGCUCAACUCCGUAUUGCGUUGGAAACUGUUUUUCUAGAGUACUGGNGAGGUGGGCGG
rnacentral:rRNA from 1 species